AUUGAACGCUGGCGGCAGGCCUAAAACAUGCAAGUCGAACGAGUGGCGGACGGGUGAGUAAUGUCUGGGAAACUGCCUGAUGGAGGGGGAUAACUACUGGAAACGGUAGCUAAUACCCCAUACCAUCAGAUGUGCCCCGAUGGGAUUAGCUAGUUGGUGGGGUAACGGCGCACCAAAGCGACGAUCCCUAGCUGGUCUGAGAGGAUGACCAGCCACACUGGAACUGAGACACGGUCCAGACGCCUACGGGAGGCAGCAGUGGGGAAUAGUGGACAAGGGGCGCAAGCCUGAUGCAGCCAUGCCGCGUGUAUGAAGAAGGCCUUCGGGUUGUAAAGUACUUUCAGCGGGGAGGCGUUACCCGCAGAAGAAGCACCGGCGAACUCCGUGCCAGCAGCCGCGGUAAUUC
rnacentral:rRNA from 1 species